rnacentral:piRNA from 1 species
GAAACUGGUGUAUCCUUAUCACGGUGUU